CAGAAACAAGAGUCUCCGAGAUGAAGAGGGAAACCUUCAGUGUGUCCUCGUCCUCCCUGAGUGUCCUCUUCCUCUGCUGCUAUUGGACAGACUGUAGAACAGAAACACAAGGUCACCAGUUAGUUAGAAGCUUUAAACAACAUCUGAGCUGAUGCUUCAGAUCAGACCCAUGAUGGCGGCUCAACGUUUGGUUCCCUGCUCUUUCUUUUCUGGACUCGACGUCUGGUCCAAUAAUUAAAAGCCAACGAGCCCAGGGAGCUGGUGCAGGCCAGUCUGCAGCACCACCGAAGAAGAAACAGCACCAUGGUUCUACCAGGGUCACUGAGCUACAUGCUAACUCUGUUCACACCAACGGACUACUUUACCAACACCAAACCAGCCCACUUACCAAACUGGUUAACCCAGGAAAGGCUGGAACAGCUGCUGAUGUCUCUGCUGAUGAACUUGGUAAACUUCUCGGGUCAGAUGGAGGGACUUGCGGCGCUGGAAACACCAGGGCUUUAUUCUUCACCAGAGUGGACAGGA